GAUGAACGCUGGCGGCGUGCCUAAUACAUGCAAGUCGAGCGAACAGACGAGGAGCUUGCUCCUCUGACGUUAGCGGCGGACGGGUGAGUAACACGUGGAUAACCUACCUAUAAGACUGGGAUAACUUCGGGAAACCGGAGCUAAUACCGGAUAAUAUAUUGAACCGCAUGGUUCAAUAGUGAAAGACGGUUUUGCUGUCACUUAUAGAUGGAUCCGCGCCGCAUUAGCUAGUUGGUAAGGUAACGGCUUACCAAGGCGACGAUGCGUAGCCGACCUGAGAGGGGGAUCGGCCACACUGGAACUGAGACACGGUCCAGACUCCUACGGGAGGCAGCAGUAGGGAAUCUUCCGCAAUGGGCGAAAGCCUGACGGAGCAACGCCGCGUGAGUGAUGAAGGUCUUCGGAUCGUAAAACUCUGUUAUUAGGGAAGAACAAAUGUGUAAGUAACUAUGCACGGCUUGACGGUACCUAAUCAGAAAGCCACGGCUAACUACGUG
rnacentral:rRNA from 1 species